CAUCGCUGCUGAGCCACAGACGCUUAGGACUCUUUUCUGGAGAGGACAAACAGCCUAACCGGUGACGCCAUGCAAAUCAACAAGCGCGGAAACUGCGCGACAGAAACAGGAAAAGAGAGGAAGCACACACGAGAGAAAGAUGGAGGAGGAAAGACAGAGAAGGAGAGAGACAGAGGAGAGAGGAGAGGCAGCGAGAGAAAUCCGGACAGGAAGGACAAGCGCAGAAGGCAAAGAAGCGAAGACAGCGGUGUCCACUUGGGCGAAACGGAGGAGAAAUACGAGCAAGGCGAGGCGGUCGAGACCCGCAGAUGCAAGUCUUUCCGAAAAAAAAACGUAUGGGCGGACGCGUCUUUGGAUUUAAAUCGGAGCUCAGAUCCUUGAAUGCAGAGACACAAGCACAAGCGACACAAACGCAUGUUUGACUUUUGCGUGGUUAUCUCUUUUUAAGGAGUUGCCGUGAUAGGAUUUUUGCCGAAGAAAGGCCUCUGAAGGUGAGAAAAGUCUUGACAGCAAGGCAAGAUUCGACGCUGCAUGCGCGAGGGCGGGUGGCAGUCAAGAGAGGAAAGAGACGAAG
rnacentral:lncRNA from 1 species